UACGUAGGGUGCAAGCGUUAAUCGGAAUUACUGGGCGUAAAGCGUGCGCAGGCGGUUCUGUAAGUCUGUCGUGAAAUCCCCGGGCUUAACCUGGGAAUUGCGAUGGAGACUGCAAGGCUAGAAUCUGGCAGAGGGGGGGUAGAAUUCCACGUGUAGCAGUGAAAUGCGUAGAGAUGUGGAGGAACACCGAUGGCGAAGGCAGCCCCC
rnacentral:rRNA from 1 species